UACGGAGGAUGCGAGCGUUAUCCGGAUUUAUUGGGUUUAAAGGGUGCGUAGGCGGGAUGCCAAGUCAGCGGUAAAAAUGCGGUGCUCAACGCCGUCGAGCCGUUGAAACUGGCGUUCUUGAGUGGGCGAGAAGUAUGCGGAAUGCGUGGUGUAGCGGCGAAAUGCAUAGAUAUCACGCAGAACUCCGAUUGCGAAGGCAGCAUACCGGCGCCCUACUGACGCUGAGGCACGAAAGCGUGGGUAUCGAACAGG
rnacentral:rRNA from 1 species